rnacentral:rRNA from 1 species
GACGAACGCUGGCGGCGUGCUUAACACAUGCAAGUCGAACGGUAAGGCCCUUCGGGGUACACGAGUGGCGAACGGGUGAGUAACACGUGGGUGAUCUGCCCUGCACUUCGGGAUAAGCCGGGGAAACUGGGUCGAAUACCGGAUAGGACCACUGCCUGCAUGGGUGGUGGUGGAAAGAUUUUGCGGUGUGGGACGGGCCCGCGGCCUAUCAGCUUGUUGGUGGGGUGAUGGCCUACCAAGGCGACGACGGGUAGCCGGCCUGAGAGGGUGACCGGCCACACUGGGACUGAGAUACGGCCCAGACUCCUACGGGAGGCAGCAGUGGGGAAUAUUGCACAAUGGGCGCAAGCCUGAUGCAGCGACGCCGCGUGAGGGAUGACGGCCUUCGGGUUGUAAACCUCUUUCAGCACCGACGAAGCGCAAGUGACGGUAGGUGCAGAAGAAGGACCGGCCAACUACGUGCCAGCCGCCGCCGUAA